rnacentral:rRNA from 1 species
UACGGAGGGUGCGAGCGUUAAUCGGAAUUACUGGGCGUAAAGCGAGUGUAGGCGGUUGCAUAAGUCGGAUGUGAAAGCCCCGGGCUUAACCUGGGAACGGCAUUCGAUACUGUGCGGCUAGAGUCUGAUAGAGGGAAGUGGAAUUCCAGGUGUAGCGGUGAAAUGCGUAGAUAUCUGGAAGAACACCAGUGGCGAAGGCGGCUUCCUGGAUCAAGACUGACGCUGAGGCUCGAAAGCGUGGGGAGCAAAC